GAUGAAGAACGUAGCGAAAUGCGAUACUUGGUGUGAAUUGCAGAAUCCCGUGAACCAUCGAGUCUUUGAACGCAAGUUGCGCCCGAAGCCAUUAGGCCGAGGGCACGCCUGCCUGGGCGUCACACGUCGUUGCCCCCCCAUCUACUCCUUCGGGAUUGCGGGGGGCGGAUGAUGGCCUCCCGUGCGCCUCGUCGCGCGGUUGGCAUAAAUGCCAAGUCCUCGGCGACGCACGCCACGACAAUCGGUGGUUGCGAAACCUCGGUUGCCCGUCGUGUGCGGUCGUCGCGCAUCGAGGGCUCGAAAAAAUUGCCGGGCUCCGGCUCGGCUUUCAACGCGACCCCAGGUCAGGCGGGGUUACCCGCUGAAUUUAAGCAUAUCAAUAAGCGAGGA
rnacentral:misc_RNA from 1 species